UCGCUACCUGGUGACAGGAUGCCAAUCUCAAAAUCCGGUCUUAGUUCGGAUUGGAGUCUGUAACCCGACUCCAUGAAGUUGGAUUCGCUAGUAAUCGCGCAUCAGCCAUGGCGCGGUGAAUACGUUCCCGGGUCUUGUACACACCGCCCGUCACACCAUGGGAGUCGGAAAUGCCCGAAGUCAGUGACCUAACCGAAAGGGAGGAGCUGCCGAAGGUGGAGCCGGUAACUGGGGUGAAGUCGUAACAAGGUAGC
rnacentral:rRNA from 1 species